AUCACACUUGAUUAUCUACUAUUUUCUUUUGUGUUCAGAGCAUGUCUUCCUAUGUUGUCCGUACCCAGAAUUUUGGUAAUGUGAUUCAGAGUGAUUGUCACGUCUACCCCCAUCACAACAGACCUGGUUUCCACAUCCUUGAUCUCAUUCAGGCCCAUUUCAGCCCUAGAUUUCUCUUUGAAAUCCGUAUUCUCAGUAAUCUUCUGACUUUCUUCAAUAGAAGCAACACCUUCAUCAAAUACUUAGGCCCUAACCCAAAAAUAUUUCACCAGGUUAGGAAAGGUUAGACCAUUGAG
rnacentral:lncRNA from 1 species